GCGCUGGUAGUGUAAUGGCUAGCAUAGGAGCCUUCCAAGCUCUUGAUCCGGGUUCGAAUCCCGGCUGGCGCA
rnacentral:tRNA from 1 species